rnacentral:rRNA from 1 species
CCUACGGGUGGCAGCAGUGGGGAAUCUUGGACAAUGGGCGAAAGCCUGAUCCAGCUACUCCGCGUGUGGGAUGACGGCCUUCGGGUUGUAAACCACUUUUGUUGAGAACGAACAGUCUUUUGAUAAUCUGUAUAGAUCUUGACGGUACUUUAAGAGUAAGCACCGGCUAACUACGUGCCAGCAGCCGCGGUAAUACGUAGGUGGCGAGCGUUAAUCGGAAUUAUUGGGCGUAAAGGGUGUGUAGGCGGUUUUGUAAGUUUGAUGUGAAAGCCCCCGGCUCAACCGGGGAAGUCCAUUCGUGACUGGAAGACUUGAGUGCAGAAGAGGAGGGUGGAAUUCCAAGUGUAGCAGUGAAAUGCGUAGAUAUAUGGAAGAACACCGAUGGCGAAGGCAACCUCCUGGUCUGCAACUGACGCUGAUGUGCGAAAGCGUGGGGAGCAAACAGGAUUAGAUACCCCUGUAGUC